CUCCACUUGAAGUAGCAAGGUGGGAGUAAAGUCCCCCACCUUUUCAUAUAUACAUGCUUGUGUGAAUGGGUCUCUGGGAUUUAUUUGGAAUUGUUUGGCCCAUGACCCAAAACAUCUAACAUUGAUCACGAUGGGGUUGUAUUUGCAAUUGUUGAUGACUACCUGUGGUUGACGUGGUAGACGCAUGCAUCACCAUGGCGCCCCCCGGUGGCCAGCGUAGCCUCCCCUAUCCUUGUACGUAGAUGUACGAGAGCUUGCACGUAGAUGCAUCUAGCUGGAGUCAUAUGUGCGCAUAUAUGACCUGUACGUGCAUCACAUGCACAUUUGCCUUAGCCUUGUUUACUAUGCCAAAAAAGCUCAUUAGUGACACGUCUAGAUAGGCAUUAGUGACGCAAAAAACGUGUCACUUUUAUUACGUCUCUGAUGUUAGCAUUCUAGUGACCUAAAAACGCGUCACUAAGGACCAUAUCAGAGACGCGUUCGGAUACUACGCGUCACAUGAUCAGCCAACUGUGACUCAUUCAGGCAAGACGCGUCACUGAUAACUAUUUACUGUGACUCGUUCAGCCAAGACGCGUCACUGGUGCAGAUCUCAUCAGUAACGCAUUGUAUCAAAACGUGUCACUAAUGGUAAUUGAAAAAAACAAAAAAAACAAGAAAAAUCUAUAUAGGGCCAUGUUUGUUCAGUACCUAUUCUUUACACAGCUGCAGUAGUAGCACCUGCAGAUCUAUACCUAUUCUUUACACAGAUGCAGCAGUAGCAGCUGCAGAUCUAUCUCGUAAUACACAUGUUUCAUUCAAUCCAACAAUCAAAUCAUUUACAAGUACGCAAUAAAGUAUCUUGCACAAGGUGCAGUGUGACCUAAAAGAUCUCUAACAGUACAUGGCCGUGGCCCGAAGAUUUCUAACAGUACAUGAGGUAACUCCUCUAUGGUUUUUUCUUGAUGCACAAUACUUAUUGCAAUGUAACAUGUAUAUAUCUAUGAAUAUUGCUAAAUGGCUAACAUAGACUUUCGCAUGUUUUAGAAUAAGGACUAGCUCAAGUUACUUCUCCAAUUCCCGGUCUUGGCAAACAGCUGGACACUGAUUGAUGGCCAGGAAGGCAUUCUACCUGCAAAAACUAUAGUCAAUUUCCCAGCCUAAGCACACAAUUGGACUAUCACAACAAAAAUAAAUGCUCAAGCCAAGCUAAAUAGGAAGAUUGUCAUAGCUACUUGUUAAUUAACCAUAUAACAGAAGCACUAUUAAAACAAAAAGAAAUACUUAGGCACUACAGAGGUUACAGCUAAUAACAUAAAUCACAAAGAGCACGAACCUGCAAGCUGCCAUGUAAAUAAAUAUCAAAGAAACAAAGGUUGCUAAUAAAUUCAUAUAUCUGAAACAACCACUAUUAAGUAAAACAGACAGAUCUCUCAGAUUCACAGUUCCCAAUUCUACAGUGGUCAUGAGCUUACCAUCAGUAGAUUGUGCAGCCACUAAAGCACAGGUGACAAAAUAGAACUCCAGCACAAUCUGCUUGUUGAAUGUU
rnacentral:lncRNA from 1 species